rnacentral:rRNA from 1 species
CUUUUGUAUAAUGGGUCAGCGACUUAUAUUCUGUAGCAAGGUUAACCGUAUAGGGGAGCCGAAGGGAAACCGAGUCUUAACUGGGCGUUAAGUUGCAGGGUAUAGACCCGAAACCCGGUGAUCUAGCCAUGGGCAGGUUGAAGGUUGGGUAACACUAACUGGAGGACCGAACCGACUAAUGUUGAAAAAUUAGCGGAUGACUUGUGGCUGGGGGUGAAAGGCCAAUCAAACCGGGAGAUAGCUGGUUCUCCCCGAAAGCUAUUUAGGUAGCGCCUCGUGAACUCAUCUUCGGGGGUAGAGCACUGUUUCGGCUAGGGGGUCAUCCCGACUUACCAACCCGAUGCAAACUGCGAAUACCGAAGAAUGUUAUCACGGGAGACACACGGCGGGUGCUAACGUCCGUCGUGAAGAGGGAAACAACCCAGACCGCCAGCUAAGGUCCCAAAGUCACAGUUAAGUGGGAAACGAUGUGGGAAGGCUCAGACAGCCAGGAUGUUGGCUUAGAAGCAGCCAUCAUUUAAAGAAAGCGUAAUAGCUCACUGGUCGAGUCGGCCUGCGCGGAAGAUGUAACGGGGCUAAACUGUGCACCGAAGCUGCGGCAGCGACGCUUAUGCGUUGUUGGGUAGGGGAGCGUUCUGUAAGCCUGCGAAGGUGUCCUGUGAGGGAUGCUGGAGGUAUCAGAAGUGCGAAUGCUGACAUAAGUAACGAUAAUGCGGGUGAAAAGCCCGCUCGCCGGAAGACCAAGGGUUCCUGUCCAACGUUAAUCGGGGCAGGGUGAGUCGACCCCUAAGGCGAGGCCGAAAGGCGUAGUCGAUGGGAAACGGGUUAAUAUUCCCGUACUUGGUGUUACUGCGAAGGGGGGACGGAGAAGGCUAUGUUGGCCGGGCGACGGUUGUCCCGGUUUAAGCGUGUAGGCUGGUUUUCCAGGCAAAUCCGGAAAAUCAAGGCUGAGGCGUGAUGACGAGGCACUACGGUGCUGAAGCAACAAAUGCCCUGCUUCCAGGAAAAGCCUCUAAGCAUCAGGUAACAUCAAAUCGUACCCCAAACCGACACAGGUGGUCAGGUAGAGAAUACCAAGGCGCUUGAGAGAACUCGGGUGAAGGAACUAGGCAAAAUGGUGCCGUAACUUCGGGAGAAGGCACGCUGACACGUAGGUGAAGUGAUUUACUCA